GUGGGGAAUCUUCCGCAAUGGACGAAAGUCUGACGGAGCAACGCCGCGUGAGUGAAGAAGGUUUUCGGAUCGUAAAGCUCUUUCGUUAGGGACGAACGUGCUCUUUGUGAAUAAUGAGGAGUAAUGACGGUACCUAAAUAAGAAGCCACGGCUAACUACGUGCCAGCAGCCGCGGUAAUACGUAGGUGGCAAGCGUUGUCCGGAAUUAUUGGGCGUAAAGCGCGCGCAGGCGGGAUAUCAAGUCUGUCUUAAAAGUGCGAGGCUCAACCUCGUGAGGGGACAGAAACUGGUAUUCUUGAGUGUCGGAGAGGAAAGUGGAAUUCCAAGUGUAGCGGUGAAAUGCGUAGAGAUUUGGAAGAACACCAGUGGCGAAGGCGACUUUCUGGACGAUGUCUGACGCUGAGGCGCGAAAGCUAGGGGAGCGAACGGGAUUAGAUACCCGUGUAGUCC
rnacentral:rRNA from 1 species